UAAUUUUCUAUAUUUCGUUUCUCCUCUCCUUCUCCUCUCGAGAGCUAGAAACCCCAGCUGUUGUUAGAGAUCGGUCAUUGAUUUAACUAUGGGAUUGGGGUUUUUCUUUAUUCAAUAGAUUUUUCUCCUCCUAUUCAAAGAAUUUGGGGUUUUCUUGAUUCCCUUUUCUGAGAUUGAAGAAGAAGUUGAAUCUGUUGUAGGUCUUGGAGGAAAAGAAAUAUAAUCUUGUUACUACGAUUGCAUAUGAACAGGUACUUCUUGCAUUAGGGGUUGCUUCAUGACAGAGCUGGAGAAGUUAGGUCAGAAGUAACGAGUAGCUUUGAGGAUUGCAAAGGAUCUCCGUUUUGAGAGACUCCCAUGUUCCCACGAAGGAACUUAUGUUGGUGAUUGUAUAGUUGAUAGAGUUACGUAGCCAGCUCUCAUAUGCAACACAGUCACACCAAUAUGUAGGUUUGAAAAUUAAUCCCUUGUUGUGGUCCACCGAAGGAAAUCUUUCGCAGCAUAGUGCUAGCAAGUAGCAAAUUUAGUUUACAUCUCUACUUCUGGCACAAGUGCUAUAUCGUUGCAACAUGUGACUGAGAUUUGAAGCGGAGAAUACGCAAGGUUCCUGGUGUUCCAAUUAUGUACAUCACUAUCCAUGACCAUAAGUUCUAAGUACUCGGUUGAGGGACUACCUGAAGCAACCCUUGGUGGAGCUCCACGAUAUUGAUGACUUGGGAUGAUUUCUCAUUAGCAAAGAAAGUGUUCAAAAAUUCACGUACAAGAUAGAAUAUCUUCUGCCGGGGUUUCUAAAACUCAAUUUCUUGCUACUGCAUAUGUUGAUAGCGCAAAGCCACCAAAUGAUGAGAAUUAUAACUGCAAUUGAAGAAAUUAUUGGGGUAAGUGAUAUGUUAUGCGAUAGAGAUGGAGCACUUGGAAGAGCUUAUGUUUCAAGAGGUGAGAUGAUUAAGUGGCCAAAAGAUCACGCAACUCCUGUAGGAGAGCGAGCAAUUAGUGGGGCAAGGUUAUAACAGAUUGAAUUCUGAAUUCAGUUUUAGCAAGAACUUAUCUUGUGAUUUUGUAUACAGCGAUUUGAUUUUCUUGAAUGGUAUUUUGGGUAAAUAAUAUAAAUUUAGUUUCACGA